UACCGCUUAAUCCUUUUCAGGGUCACAGGGAACCUGGAGCCUAUCCCAGUGAGCAUCAGGCACAAGGUGGGGUACACCCUGGACAGGGUGCCAGUCCAUCGCAGGGCACAAUCACAAUCGCAUUCACACACUACGGACACUUUAGACACGCCAAUCAGCCUACCAUGCAUGUCUCUGGACUGGGGGAGGAAACCGGAGCACCCGGAGGAAACCCCCGCAACACGGGGAGAACAUGCAAACUCCGCACACACAGGGCCACGGUGGGAAUCGACCCCCCGACCCUGGAGGGCAGAUCUUCUUUCCUGAAGAAACCACACAAAACUAAAUGCUUGUUCUGGGUCUGAAAUCUUUCAGAAGGAAAGGGGAACCUCUCGAGACAGGAGCCAAAAUCCGACUGAUACACCGUGAUCGCCGGGGCGAUGAUUUAUGAGCAGGUUCUCUGUGGUGAGGUGCACGCGAGAGGCUAUUCUCUGUGGGAAAGAUAACGCUUGGUUAUGUCAGUGUCCAGUUUAUUUCCGGCAAGACCUAAACUUGGCCAGCCUUCGAUGGCCGAGAGAAGUGUGAGUGAAAUGAAGGGCCACGGGAUUUUCUCUCUGACAGCUGUGUUGACUUGCUCGAUGGAUCUGCUGAUUAUGGUGGUCAAACUGGACUUUCUCAGGGAUUGAAAUGGCAGGAAAAAAAUAAAAUAUGCCACAGUUUGGAUUAAAUGUCACUUGAUAAAUGAACACCUAGAUGGCCUGUCCUUUCUUCAGUUACAGCAGAAGUAGCUACUUGAAAAUGAUGUUUUACAUUGUGAAUACGUAAGGAAUAAAACCUGAGCAAGCAUGCUGUUACCAUGCUAAAUAUUAUCUUCCAAUAACAGCAUGUCAUGAAGCGUUUCAUUCCU